UCGGGCGUCGCCAAGCGGUAAGGCACCUGGUUUUGGUCCAGGCAUCCGGUGGUUCGAAUCCAUCCGCCCGAG
rnacentral:tRNA from 1 species